GUGCUUGCUUUGGCACCACAUAUACAAAAUUGAAAUGGUACAGAGAAGAUUAGCAUGGCCCCUGAGCAAGGAUGACACGCAAAUUUGUGAAACAUUCCUUCUUUUU